UACGUAGGGUGCAAGCGUUAAUCGGAAUUACUGGGCGUAAAGCGUGCGCAGGCGGUUUUGUAAGUCUGAUGUGAAAUCCCCGGGCUCAACCUGGGAAUUGCAUUGGAGACUGCAAGGCUAGAAUCUGGCAGAGGGGGGUAGGAUUCCACGUGUAGCAGUGAAAUGCGUAGAGAUGUGGAGGAACACCGAUGGCGAAGGCAGCCCCCUGGGUCAAGAUUGACGCUCAUGCACGAAAGCGUGGGGAGCAAACAGG
rnacentral:rRNA from 1 species